rnacentral:rRNA from 1 species
UACGUAGGGUGCGAGCGUUGUUCGGAAUCACUGGGCGUAAAGGGCGCGUAGGCGGGUCUGCAAGUCGAUUGUGAAAUCCCAGGGCUUAACCCUGGAAUUGCAGUCGAAACUGCAAGUCUUGAAUGUCUGAGAGGGUGGGAGAAUUCCUGGUGUAGUAGUGAAAUACGUAGAUAUCAGGAGGAAUACCGGCGGCGAAGGCGCCUACCUGGCAGUACAUUGACGCUGAGGCGCGAAAGCGUGGGGAGCAAACAGG